rnacentral:lncRNA from 1 species
UCUAUAUUAACAUUUUCGAAGUACCUUUUGGAAAAUAACCUUUUAUUUUCUAUUAUUUGCAUAAUAAAUCCUUGCCAUUUAAAUAAAUAACAAACUUUUAAGAUAAAAUUUGUAAUUAAAUUACACCAGAAUCGCAAAAUUAGAAACUAAUAUUUAUUACAUUUAAAAAAUUUUCCUAAAAUGUCUCCCUACUAAAUUGAAUAUCUCUCCAAUAUCUUUAUAUGAUUUUAUUUGUUUUAAAAUUUAAAUUAUUAUAUAAAACAUAAGUAUAAUAAAAAUACAAAUUUUUUU